rnacentral:lncRNA from 1 species
AUGAGUGAGUCUUUGGUGGUUUUGAUGUUGCUGAAGAUUUAGUGGAAAAGCUGAGAAAGUUUCGUUUUCACAAAGAAACAAACAAUGCUUCUAUUGUAAUGAAGAUUGAAGGAUAAACGCCUGGUGGUACUGGAUGAGGAGCUUGAGGGUAUUUCACCAGAUGAACUUAAAGAUGAACUACCUGAACGACAACCUCGUUUCAUUGUGUAUAGUUAUAAAUAUCAACAUAAUGGAUGGGAGAGUUCCAUAUCCUCCGUGCUUUAUUUUCUCCAGUCCUGUUGGAUGUAAGCCUGAACAACAAAUGAUAUAUGCUGGCAGUAAGAAUAAGCUAGUCCAGACAGCUGAACUAACCAAGAUAUUUGAAAUAAGAAAUACGGAAGAACUGACUGAAGAAUGGUUAUGUGAGAAACUUGGAUUUUUCCACUAA